UACGUAGGGGGCAAGCGUUGUCCGGAAUCACUGGGCGUAAAGCGCGCGCAGGCGGUCAUCUACGUCUGGGGUGAAAGCCCGGAGCUCAACUCCGGAACUGCCUUGGAUACGGGAUGACUUGAGGAUCGGAGAGGCAAGGGGAAUUCCACGUGUAGCGGUGAAAUGCGUAGAGAUGUGGAGGAACACCUGUGGCGAAGGCGGCUCACUGGACUGGUAUUGACGCUGAGGUGCGAAAGCGUGGGGAGCAAACAGG
rnacentral:rRNA from 1 species